GAUGAACGCUGGCGGCGUGCCUAAUACAUGCAAGUAGAACGCUGAAGGAAGGAGCUUGCUCUUUCCGGAUGAGUUGCGAACGGGUGAGUAACGCGUAGGUAACCUGCCUGGUAGCGGGGGAUAACUAUUGGAAACGAUAGCUAAUACCGCAUAACAGUAGAUGUUGCAUGAUAUCUACUUAAAAGGUGCAAUUGCACCACUACCAGAUGGACCUGCGUUGUAUUAGCUAGUUGGUGAGGUAACGGCUCACCAAGGCGACGAUACAUAGCCGACCUGAGAGGGUGAUCGGCCACACUGGGACUGAGACACGGCCCAGACUCCUACGGGAGGCAGCAGUAGGGAAUCUUCGGCAAUGGACGGAAGUCUGACCGAGCAACGCCGCGUGAGUGAAGAAGGUUGUCGGAUCGUAAAGCUCUGUUGUAAGAGAAGAACGAGUGUGAGGGUGGAAAGUUCACACUGUGACGGUAUCUUACCAGAAAGGGACGGCUAACUACGUG
rnacentral:rRNA from 1 species